ACAACAACACUGCCAGGCAGGAACUCUUCCUCUACAGACGAGCAAGCCGACAUGCAGAAAAGUCGACACGGUGCCUAAUGUCACCGAGCUGAUUUCCAUCUUGAUGCUCCCAAGAACCACUAUGCAGGGACAGGCAAUGAAGGCGAUCUCGGGGGCGACUGCUGUUUCUCGGAUUUUUAGGAUGUGGACUUCAGCAGCCAGCACGCUG